GCGUCCUAGAGGAGACAGGAAAGCUCUUGGAGGGCGACGGGGCUCAGGCUGCUGACGCACUUCCGGCCUUCGUGGCUGCUGGGUUGCCGGGCUGCUGCUCCCCGCCGGGGCUCCGGAGCGUCCCUGGACGGGAGGUGUGUCCUCUAAAGAAGAACACAUCAGGAAAUCUUAAAUGAGGUUCCUCUUGACCCCCGGCUGGAGUGAACCUUCUGAAUUCACCCUGGAAUGGCUUCAGCAGAGGAGCAGGAGGGACUGAAGAUUGUGAAGGUGGAGGAAGAUGCAAUCUGGGACCAGGAAACCUGCCUUCGAGAGAACAGCUUUUCUACCCAGGAGGCCUCCCGCCAACUUUUUAGGCACUUUUGUUACCAAGAGACCCCUGGGCCCCGCGAGGCGCUGAGCCGGCUGCGGGAGCUCUGCCGCCAGUGGCUGCGGCCCGAGACGCACAGCAAGGAGCAGAUCGUGGAGCUGCUGGUGCUGGAGCAGUUCCUGACCAUCCUGCCCGAGGAGCUGCAGGCCCGGGUGCGGGAGCAGCAGGCGGAGAGCGGGGAGCAGGCGGUGGCUGUGGUCGAAGAUCUGGAACGGGAGCUUAGUGAGCCCGAGAACCAGGCCCUGGCUCACGAACAUGGCCCUUCUGAGACGCUCUCAGAGGAUGUGCCGCAUUUGAAGGCCAAGCAGGACUCGGUAGCCAUCCAGCUUCAGUCCAUGGUGACACAGCUCCAGGGUGAAUCUUUGGGUCCCCACAGACUCGGAGAACGAGGUUGUGAACCUGUACCUGAGCGCCGGGAGCUGGCAUCGACGCAGGAAGUCUUGAAGGAAGUGGAAUGCUUUGGAAACCGCAGACCCCCAAGAGAUGCCCCCGUAGAUUGUAAGUAUAGAGAACCUUGUGCACCGCAGAGCAGAGCGGAAAAGCAGAGGGGACAGGCAGCCGGAGAGAGACGGCAUAGGUGCAGUGAGUGUGGGAAAGGCUUUACUCAGAGCUCAGUCCUCGUCCAGCACCGGAGAACCCACACGGGGGAGAAGCCCUACGAGUGCGAAGAAUGCGGGAAGACCUUCAGCCAGAGGUCGGGCCUGAUCGAGCACCAGCGGAGCCACACUGGAGAGAAACCCUACAAGUGUAAGGAGUGCGGCAAAGCCUUCAGCGCCAGCAACGGCCUCAUCAGACACCGGAGGAUCCACACAGGGGAGAAGCCGUACGAGUGCGAGGCGUGUGGGAAGGCCUUCCGCCUGAGCUCGUACCUCGCGCAGCACCAGAGGAUCCACACCGGGGAGAAGCGCUACCGCUGCCCCGAGUGCGGGAAGGCCUUCAGCCAGAACGCGGGGCUCUUCCAGCACCUGCGCGUGCACACGGGGGAGAAGCCCUACCCGUGCGGCCAGUGCGGCAAGCGCUUCAGCCGGAGAACGCUGCUCGUCAAGCACCAGAGGAGCCACACCGGCGAGCGGCCGUUCACCUGCGAGCAGUGUGGGAAGGCCUUCGGCCACCACUGCAACCUUGUUCGGCAUUUCAGAACCCACACCGUUGCCAAGCUGGCCUCAUUCCGUGCACCCCCAGACCCUUGAGUGGGGCCAUCUAGGAAAGGAAGAUUUUUGGGGGCGUAUUUUGUUUUUACCAACUUUAUUCUGCUCUGGAACGAGGAGCUCGUCUGCAGCCUGGGCUGCGUCUCCGCGGUGACUGUGGGUGUGGCGGUUGCCUGGCAGCCUCGUCCUCCCUGUCCCUAGCUUCAUUUCUGAGGAUCUUCCUUAAAAGGGACCAAAAAUUACCUGGAAAUAAAUUGGUACGGAGGGGCUGUUCUUGAGUGAUACUGAGCACUGCGCAGCUCUGCGGGACUGGUAUCUGUGCGUACUCUUCAAAGGCCGGCAUUUAUCCUGGGUGUCUCCAGUGCGCAUGCGUGGCCCAUUCGGCGUUGCCUAAUGUUCCCGCUGCGGAGGCCGCCGUCGUGCGGCGUCUUUUCGUCUCGCCGCCCCAUGCCUCUGCCCUCCCAUCUCACGGGCCCCUCCCUGCCCAGUCAGCUGAUCCCGCAGUCCGCGACCUCAGCCCCUCCCUGGCCAGGAUCGUCCCCGAGCACCUGCCCAGGGACCUUCUGCAGCCCGACUCAGCGCCAAGUGAGGCCGCCGUUGGGGCUUCUCCGGUCCUUGCCCCCGCGUGGGCACCGCUCCCUGCUCACCGUGUCGGUCUCCGAGACUCGGCCGGUCACCACCCUGUCUGGAGUUUUGCUCCCCAGCCCCUGGCUCCCUGCUCCCCACACUUCACCUCUUCAUCCUUCUAAAGCUUCAGCCACACAGCCUCGCGCUCCGCUCCAGAGAGGCCCCAGAAUGGCUCAGGCAGAAAGUGCCACUGACCCGGCCGCCUGCUGUGGCUCCUGCCACCCCCAGCCCAACUGAAGGUUUUGUGUAAUGCGGGUGCUGGUAGGUCACCGUGACUCGGGCCUCCUGUGGUGACAGAAGUGAGAGUUACUGGUCCUGCACUAUCCCAGGGAAGCAGCUUUGGACCAGUGGACACUCACCUACUGGCUGUUCCUGGGGCCUCAGCAGUGUGCUCCAUUUCUUGAGAAGUUUCUUUCUUUGCAUUAAAUAACCCAUCUUCAGUUACAACUUCUUCAGCUAAAAUAAUACAAUUUAUAUGUCAUCUGUUGCCUGAAUUAAGAAAGAGG